rnacentral:rRNA from 1 species
UGAGGAAUAUUGGUCAAUGGGCGCAAGCCUGAACCAGCCAUCCCGCGUGCAGGAAGACGGCCCUAUGGGUUGUAAACUGCUUUUCCAGGAAGAGAAACUUACGUACGAGUUGCGUAAUUGACGGUAUCCUGGGAAUAAGCAUCGGCUAACUCCGUGCCAGCAGCCGCGGUAAUA